UACGUAGGGGGCAAGCGUUGUCCGGACUUACUGGGCGUAAAGGGCGCGUAGGUGGCCUUCUAAGUUGAACGUGAAAUCCCUGGGCUCAACCCAGGAACUGCGUCCAAGACUGGGAGGCUUGAAUCCGGGAGAGGGAUGCGGAAUUCCAGGUGUAGCGGUGAAAUGCGUAGAUAUCUGGAGGAACACCGGUGGCGAAGGCGGCAUCCUGGACCGGUAUUGACACUGAGGCGCGAAAGCCAGGGGAGCAAACGGG
rnacentral:rRNA from 1 species